GGGUGUGAGGGCGAUCUGGCUGCGACAUCUGUCACCCCACUGAUCGCCAGGGUUGAUUCGGCUGAUCUGGCUGGCUAGGCGGGUGUCCCCUUCCUCCCUCACCGCUCCAUGUGCGUCCCUCCCGAAGCUGCGCGCUCGGUCGAAGAGGACGGCUUUCCCCGAAUAGAGACGGACCGGUCUUCGGUCGAGGGUAUACGAGUAGCUGCGCUCCCCUGCUAGAACCUCCAAACAAGCUCUCAAGGUCCAAUAAAUGAAAAUAAAAAAGUUUUAAAAGACAAUUUAAAAAAUCAGAAUUUUUGACAACUAGGAUAUAUUAAAGUGAGCUUUUAAAAUAUUU
rnacentral:snRNA from 1 species